rnacentral:rRNA from 1 species
CCUACGGGGGGCUGCAGUGAGGAAUAUUGGUCAAUGGCCGGAAGGCUGAACCAGCCAUGCCGCGUGAAGGUCAGUGCCCUAUGGGCGUUAAACUUCUUUUGUGCGGGAGCAAUAAUGGUCACGUGUGGACAGACGAGAGUACCGUACGAAUAAGCAUCGGCUAACUCCGUGCCAGCAGCCGCGGUCAUACGGGGGAUGCAAGCGUUAUCCGGAUUUAGUGGGGUUAAAGGGUGCGUAGGCUGUGAGGUAAGUCAGCGGUGAAAUGCCCCCGCUCAACGGGGUGAAGUGCCAUUGAUACUGCCAUGCGUGAAUGCGGAUGCCGUGGGAGGAAUGUGAGGUGUAGCGGUGAAAUGCAUAGAUAUCACACAGAACACCGAUUGCGAAGGCAUCUCACGAAUCCGCGAUUGACGCUGAUGCACGAAAGCGUGGGUAUCAAACAGGAUUAGAUACCCUAGUAGUC